GAAUAAAGUUCAGGAAAUCACUGGAGAGAUCCCCCAGAAGCAAUUAACAGUUGAGGACCUCCGCAGGAUGAGGGAGCCCGUCAAGAGGCUGGUGGAGGCUGGCCGGGUGUUGGCCGUCCAGGAAGACCAAGAUAGCCGCCGCUCCGCCAUGAUAACUCUACAAGACGGACAGCUGUACCUCCACCCACUCCUGCGUCAGCCCACGCCCACCUACGCCCACACCCUCCAGGAGAGUGAGGUUGUGGGCAUGCUGGACGCCUCCUGCACCUUGGCGUUCCUUGAC